AAUAUUCAUGGUUCUGUAAAAGGGUUGGAUCCGACGCCUUUUGGAGGCUAUUAUAGGCUUUCCUUCUCAACUCCUACUCAAUACGUCUACGACGUGCAAACGGUAACUUUUCGCUUAGAUAUCCAAGCUU
rnacentral:ribozyme from 1 species